UACGUAUGGAGCAAGCGUUAUCCGGAUUUACUGGGUGUAAAGGGUGCGUAGGCGGCACAGCAAGUCAGAUGUGAAAGACCGGGGCUCAACCCCGGGGCUGCAUUUGAAACUGCCGAGCUUGAGUCCGGGAGAGGCAGGCGGAAUUCCUAGUGUAGCGGUGAAAUGCGUAGAUAUUAGGAGGAACACCAGUGGCGAAGGCGGCUUACUGGACUGUAACUGACGUUGAGGCUCGAAAGCGUGGGGAGCAAACAGG
rnacentral:rRNA from 1 species